ACUGAUAGGCCGGGCUGAUGCGCAGGCAAUUUAUCAUCUUGAUCUCCCACUGAGUCAGGGAGCUCUCCUGUCACCAGUAUUGAUUUCAGAGGAUGGACUAAAUUUCCUAGGAUUUCCAUUAAGAAUUAAGAAAAAAGCUCUAAGCACGCAGGGUAGCCAGACAGACAUGGAUAUGAGAUGGCACUGUGAAAACUCGCAGAUGUACUGGAGAAAGUUCUAUAUCUACUGGUGAAGGCUUAAUGGCUUAAUCUUCUGAUACCUGAUUUUCUUGUUUGUAAGACCACAGAUGACAUCCUUGUGGCGUCAGCAGAGUGUCCCAGCGAUGAUGAGGACAUUGACCCCUGUGAGCCGAGCUCAGCCAACCCAACCCGAGCAGGCGGCAGAGAGCCAUACCCAGGCUCAGCAGAAGUGAUCCGGGAGUCCAGCAGCACCACGGGUAUGGUCGUUGGGAUAGUAGCUGCUGCCGCCCUGUGCAUCCUUAUCCUCCUCUAUGCCAUGUACAAGUACAGAAACCGGGAUGAAGGCUCAUACCAUGUGGAUGAGAGUCGAAACUACAUCAGUAACUCAGCACAGUCCAAUGGGGCUGUCGUAAAGGAGAAACAACCCAGCAGUGCGAAAAGCUCCAACAAAAAUAAGAAAAACAAGGAUAAAGAGUAUUAUGUCUGAUCCCAAGAUCUUAAAUGGACACUUGUAUAGAAAUAGUCUUCAUUUUAUCUGAGACAUAAUAUAAACUUAUUUACUUUCCUUUUUAUGAAGCACAUACAAAAGAAGACAGGGAAUGCAAUCAGGAAGGAAAGACUUUUUAAAAAAUAAAAAGUAUCUCAUGCUCUUGUUUCUCAAAAAAGAAAAACAAAAAACAAAAAACAGGGGCCAAUAAAUUCCCUAACAUCCACAGUGUUUUCAUUUACUCUGCUUGUCUUUAUGUUGCUGGAACAUUUCUAAAAGACAGUGAUGACCGCACGCAUUCAUAAAGCAAAGGAGUAUUACAGCAUCAAGGCACAACACAAAAACCAACACAAAACAUAACACAAAAAAGAAGCUACCUAUGAUCCUGGAUUUAGCCAAAGUGCUAGCGCUUUCCUGAGAAGUCAGUUAGUCCAAUUGCCAGAGAAGACUGUCCUUUUGAGUGACUCAACCUGCAAACCUUUUAAGAGUUUGCCGCCUGGUGCAACUGGAGCAGUGGUUGGAACUUGCAUUUGAAACAAAGUGCUGGCUUUUUUGAAGACUUGUGUAGGAACACAUUCAAAAAGCCCCUUUCUGGUUGUGAGAGAGGAAAAAAAAGUAUGGAGGCCUUAUUUUCAAAAAUGUGAAAUAUAAGGCACGUUUUCACACAAAAUUUCAAAACAAAAACAAGAGGGCAUAGAUGCAAUCAUUGGGAAAUUUUCAUGCACGCUUAUUAUGUUAUUACAUAUGUUUAUAUAAAAUCCAUCUCUGUGUGCUUUCUGGACUGUGAUAAGUGACGUUUUAUAGCCUGUUGUAUAGAAAAUGCAAAAUAUAUCUCUGCUCUUCAGCCAUUUUUGGUAAAUUCAAUGUUAUAAGUGUUGCUAAGUAUAGGGAGUUUUAUGACAUCAGAGCAACAAUUAUUUCAGUUGGGUUUUUCUUUUUUUUGCCACCAUUACAAAUUGCCACAAUUACUUACUUACUUUUAUUUUUUAAAGAAAUUACACUGUAGUGUUUAUUCUAAGGAAGAUAUGUAUGAAUGUAUAUAAAAAGACUCAGCUACUUCUUUUCUUAUAUGUACAGCCUUCAUUCUGUUGCAAUUAAGUUUUAGUACUUGUAUGAAAGGUGUGAAUUAAUUAGAAAGUCACAUAUAUACAUAUGUAUCUUAUAAUCUUUUCUCCCUGAAAUACUCACAUUCCCACAUACAUUCACUAUUUUCACACACACACACACACACACACACACACACACACGAAUCCACAGCAAUCCAUCAGAUAUGCUGGAAGAUCCAAACGUGCAUACAGUAGCAAAUAUUUAUUGACAAAUUGAAAAGCAGGAAGGAAGAGGGUUGUGCCAAGGUAUUGAUGACAAAUGGGGGUGAUUUGCUUCAUUGAGAUCUUGCUCCCAGGUAACCUUAAGAAGAUUUUAGUCCCUAAUGAAAUGAACCUUUCCUUAUCAAAUAUAAUAUCACUGAUAUACUGCUGCAUGAAUAAGAACCAUUAUGUGGGCAGGUUAUGGAAGCAAAAUUGGUUAAUCUACACCUUAACUCUGGCUGCUACAAUUGAAAACUUUCUUUCUAAUAAAAUAA
rnacentral:sRNA from 1 species